GGAAGGUGUUGCUGGAGGCCGGACUCGAGGAGGCGAGACGGGUGAGCAAAGGCCGCUAGAGCCCAGGGUUCCAAGAGGUCUGGGGCGGCGGCAGGCCCCUUGCAGUUACCCUGGUGUUGAGGAGGGUCGGUCGCUGCCUCGCCCAGCCUGCUGCUGAACCCGCUGAUGCCCAGGCCACCCGCCUGCAUCUUGAUCGCCGACUUGAGCUCGUGAUUCUCCCGAAGGAGCCGCACCAGCUUCUUCAGUUCCUCAUUUUCCCGCACCAGCCUCUCGAUCUGAUGGCGAAGCCCCUCGUAAUUGGGGGACACAGCAGACAGCAGGCCAAACUCCAUCGGCAGAGAUGCCCUGCCCGCCUCGACCAGGCCCAUCCUGAGCCCUUUGUGGCACUGCCAGCUGCCCCAGCCCCGAGCCCCACCUGAUCUCCUCUCUGCACACCUCAUCUGCUUCCUCCCUGCUUUCUUCACCUGUUGGCACCCACCCCUUCUCCUGGACAUUCUCUUGCCGGACGCAUCUUCCUGAACCCACAGCCAGCUGUGGCUCCUGCCAGAGGCCCCUUCACCGGCAGGACAGGUCCAAGCCCUCACCCACGUGCAGCCCUGGCCUUCCCUCCUGCGGUGGCCCCGCCCUGGCCCGCUGGCGACCAUCAGGCGGGUGGUGUGAUCAGUGUGUCGGAAGCACACCUGGCAG